GCCCUUAUAGCUCAGUGGUAGAGCGCAUCACUCGUACGGCAUGUGAUAUGAUGAGGUCCGCUGUUCGAUCCAGCGUGGGGGCA
rfam:Ophiocordyceps unilateralis strain SC16a Contig_115, whole genome shotgun sequence.